UGGGAGAGACAGGAGAGGUGAUAGGAGAGACAGGAUGAGGGACAGGAGAGGUGAUAGGAGAGACAGGAUGGGGGACAGGAGGGGUAAUGGGAGAGACAGGAGAGGUGACAGGAAAGACAGGAUGAGGGACAGGAGAGGUGAUAGGAGAGACGGGAUGGGGGACAGGAGGGGUGAUAAAAGAGACAGGAGAGGUGAUAGGAGAGACAGGAUGAGGGACAGGAGGGGUGAUGGGAGAGACAGGAUGUGGGACAGGAGGGGUGAUAGGAGAGACGGGAUGUGGGACAGGAGGGGUGAUAGGAGAGACGGGAUGGGGGACAGGAGGGGUGAUAAAAGAGACAGGAGAGGUGACAGGAAAGACAGGAUGAGGGACAGGAGGGGUGAUGGGAGAGACAGGAGAGGUGAUAGGAGAGACAGGUUGAGAGACAGGAGGGGUAAUGGGAGAGACAGGAGAGGUGACAGGAAAGACAGGAUGAGGGACAGGAGGGGUGAUGGGAGAGACAGGAGAGGUGAUAGGAGAGACAGGUUGAGAGACAGGAGGGGUAAUGGGAGAG
ensembl:lncRNA